AGGACGAACGCUGGCGGCGUGCUUAACACAUGCAAGUCGAGCGGAAAGGCCCUUCGGGGUACUCGAGCGGCGAACGGGUGAGUAACACGUGAGUAAUCUGCCCCAU
rnacentral:rRNA from 1 species